rfam:Triticum aestivum genome assembly, contig: Triticum_aestivum_CS42_TGACv1_scaffold_473518_6AL
CAAAUACUCUCUACUCUCAAAAUUCUUGUCUUCGAUUUGUCUAGAUACGGAUGUACCUAAUACUAAAACGUGACUUGGUGCAUCCGUAUUUAGACAAAUCUAAGAUAAGAAUUAGAUGCAUCCGUAUCUAUAUAAAUCUAAGACAAGAAUUUUGGGACGGAGGGAGUAGAUA